rnacentral:snoRNA from 1 species
GUGCGUGAUGACAACUUUGGCCGUAGGAAAGCUUGGGGACCGGUUGGUCUUCACGAAGCUCCCUGUGACGGCACUGUCAUAGUUACCCUGAAU